CUACGGGGCGCUGCAGUGAGGAAUUUUGCGCAAUGGGGGAAACCCUGACGCAGCAACGCCGCGUGAGUGAAGAAGGCUUUCGGGUCGUAAAGCUCUGUCAGAGGGGAAAAAUGUCUAUCGAUGAAUAGUCGGUAGGUUUGAUGGUACCAUCAGAGGAAGCACCGGCUAACUCCGUGCCAGCAGCCGCGGUAAUACGGAGGGUGCGAGCGUUGUUCGGAAUUAUUGGGCGUAAAGCGCGUGUAGGCGGCUUGGUCAGUCAGAUGUGAAAGCCCUGGGCUCAACUCAGGAAGUGCAUUUGAAACUAGCUCGCUUGAGUAUGGGAGAGGAGAGUGGAAUUCCCAGUGUAGAGGUGAAAUUCGUAGAUAUUGGGAGGAACACCCGUGGCGAAGGCGACUCUCUGGACCAAUACUGACGCUGAGACGCGAAAGCGUGGGGAGCAAACAGGAUUAGAUACCCCCGUAGUC
rnacentral:rRNA from 1 species